AGCCGAGCGGUAGAGAUUCUUCGGAAUCUUGAGAGCGGCGCACGGGUGCGGAACACGUGUGCAACCUACCUUUAUCAGGGGGAUAGCCUUUCGAAAGGAAGAUUAAUACCCCAUAAUAUAUUUGAUGGCAUCAUUGAAUAUUGAAAACUCCGGUGGAUAGAGAUGGGCACGCGCAAGAUUAGAUAGUUGGUGAGGUAACGGCUCACCAAGUCAAUGAUCUUUAGGGGGCCUGAGAGGGUGAUCCCCCACACUGGUACUGAGACACGGACCAGACUCCUACGGGAGGCAGCAGUGAGGAAUAUUGGACAAUGGGUGAGAGCCUGAUCCAGCCAUCCCGCGUGAAGGACGACGGCCCUAUGGGUUGUAAACUUCUUUUGUAUAGGGAUAAACCUACUCUCGUGAGAGUAGCUGAAGGUACUAUACGAAUAAGCACCGGCUAACUCCGUGCCAGCAGCCGCGGUAAUACGGAGGGUGCAAGCGUUAUCCGGAUUUAUUGGGUUUAAAGGGUCCGUAGGCGGACUCGUAAGUCAGUGGUGAAAUCUCAUAGCUUAACUAUGAAACUGCCAUUGAUACUGCGGGUCUUGAGUAAAGUAGAAGUGGCUGGAAUAAGUAGUGUAGCGGUGAAAUGCAUAGAUAUUACUUAGAACACCAAUUGCGAAGGCAGGUCACUAUGUUUUAACUGACGCUGAUGG
rnacentral:rRNA from 1 species